AUUGAACGCUGGCGGCAGGCCUAACACAUGCAAGUCGAACGAGUGGCGGACGGGUGAGUAACGUCUGGGAAACUGCCAGAUGGAGGGGGAUAACUACUGGAAACGGUAGAUAAUACCGCAUAGCAUCCGAUGUGCCCUGAUGGGAUUAGCUAGUUGGUGGGGGAACGGCUAACCAAGGCGACGAUCCCUAGCUGGUCUGAGAGGAUGACCAUCCACACUGGAACUGAGACACGGUCCAGACUCCUACGGGAGGCAGCAGUGGGGAAUCUUGCACAAUGGGCGCAAGCCUGAUGCAGCCAUGCCGCGUGUAUGAUGAAGGCCUUCGGGUUGUAAAGUACUUUCAUCGGGGAGGCGUUACCCGCAGAAGAAGCACCGGCUAACUCCGUGCCAGCAGCCGCGGUAAUAC
rnacentral:rRNA from 1 species